rnacentral:lncRNA from 1 species
CUGGUAUCGUCACUGCUGUGGCUCGGUUCGAUCCCUGGCCUGGGAACUUCUACAUGCCACAGGUACAUCCAAAAAUAAAUAAAAAUAAAUCUCCUCCUGUCUUCCACCAAGUGAAAUGUGAGUUUGGAAAGGGAAAAAUUCUCAACAGUGCAUCUCAGGUUCAGAGAAAUCAUGACAGCUCUGCCAGCUCAAGGCUCAAAGUCUUGAGUACCCAGCCCUUCAGUUUUAGGUAGGGCAUAGGUGUCAACCAGCAGGCUGAGUUGAUAACAAUCACUUUGUGACCCAACCACCCUCCCACACCCCCACCAAAUCAGCUAGAUAGAAUCUGGCAGGGCUGAUAAAUUGCUACCUUAGACAGGUGGAAGCAAGGGGGAAAUGCAGGCCAAAAGACAGCAAAAAAAGAAGCUUGCAAAAACGAAAGCAAAAAAACCUGAGACUGAACCCUAAUGCAUCUGGUGCAGGCUCUUGCAAAUUCCCAGCUGCAUGAGGACCAAAUUAGUUAAUAAGAAAUGAAUACAAAAAUGCCUGAGCUCAGUGGAGCUGUCCUGAGUUUCAUUUCCUGAGAAGGAGCUUCUAACAGUGAUCCAGGAAAUUCUGGCCACCUGCAGUGUGCAAAGGCAGCUGGCCAGGCAAGGAAGCUGGCGCCAGGUCCCAGGGCCCCUCCCUGGAGGGAGCAAAGGCCUCUCGGGUUGCAGCUGCAGAAAGAGGGAGGAGAGAAGAGGGACAGGAUGGAGUGGAGAGCCUUGGAGGCAGUGGUUUGGACAUCAACUCGGUCCUGAGGUUGUCAAGUUUAAUCCUCAACUCCUGAAAGUUCCCAGAAGCAGACAUUCUUUUUUUUUUUUUUUUUUGCAUUGUUCUGUUCCAGGAGCUACGAACUCAAGUGUCUACAGAACAUGUCAGAUAGCAUAAACAAGAGAAGUGGCCAAGGCUAAUAAAGAUCAUUCAGCUCUCUUGGUCUGGCUUUUG